AUUACACUCUGCUAGCUGAUAACAUUUUGUCGAGUGGCUGAGCCAGUGAUAGCAGGUAUAUCAGAAGGCUGUGUCGAUGGUUGCAAGUUGUUUUGCAAGUGCGCUAUUGACAUGAAGUUAAAUGAUCCCUAAAAAUUGCACUGGUUACACAAACGUCACCGUGGCAUAUCCCGGAGUGGUCGGUGUCGGCGAAGCGGUAGCACUGCAGGGACAUUCUCCAAUCGGAACACAUGGUCCGUUGUCGUAUUGGCGCACGUAGCCAUCCCGGCAGAAGCAACCCGGGACGCACUUCUCAAUGCAAUACAUGUAAAUAUUCAAAUUUUUGCAAGUGCGUUGGCAGGGCGUGCCACAGCAGUUAUAAACCUCGUUGGGGUUGGCUGAAAAAAGGGAAUCAUCCGCGCAAGCGUAGCAGAUGCUCGCAAUGAAGACUACUAAAACAAUCAGUUUCAUGAUUAUGAAUGAUACUGCAGAAGUUCCGAUGAUAGGUCUUUUAUAGUGAUUUGUAUC